AAUGGGGAGAAUUUGGUGGGUACAAAAAUUGGCAGAUAUGAGAAUUUAGGCUAACGUCAUUAAUGAAAGUUGUUACCCGCUUUAAUGUAAAGCUACUUGAAAACUUUCGUUAAGUUUUAUCGAAAAAUGAAAAAGAUACAAGCCGUCAAAGUUCGCUACAGUCAUUGAAGUAAUAUUUUUUUUCUAUCCCUCCUGCAGCAGCGCCUUCUGUCGCAG
rnacentral:lncRNA from 1 species